GAACACCAACCAGCCGAGAAAACGGGAACGAAGAGGAGAAGCUGUGAUGCGGGAACAUCUGGCGUAAAACUGAGAGCGGCCGGAUGUGGAUCCCUGUGUUGUCCCACAAGUGGCUGGAAUCUCAAGUCUCUCGGAGUCUUCCGCCUGUCUCUGCUUUCCAAGCCCACCGAUCCUCCAGAGCGCAGCACGUGUACGAACACCAACCAGCCGAGAAAACGGGAACGAAGAGGAGAAGCUGUGAUGCGGGAACAUCUGGCGUAAAACUGAGAGCGGCCGGAUGUGGAUCCCUGUGUUGUCCCACAAGUGGCUGGAAUCUCAAGUCUCUCGAAGUCUUCCGCCUGUCUCUGCUUUCCAAGCCCACCGAUCCUCCAGAGCGCAGCACGUGUACGAACACCAACCAGCCGAGAAAACGGGAACGAAGAGGAGAAGCUGUGAUGCGGGAACAUCUGGCGUAAAACUGAGAGCGGCCGGAUGUGGAUCCCUGUGUUGUCCCACAAGUGGCUGGAAUCUCAAGUCUCUCGGAGUCUUCCGCCUGUCUCUGCUUUCCAAGCCCACCGAUCCUCCAGAGCGCAGCACGUGUACGAACACCAACCAGCCGAGAAAACGGGAACGAAGAGGAGAAGCUGUGAUGCGGGAACAUCUGGCGUAAAACUGAGAGCGGCCGGAUGUGGAUCCCUGUGUUGUCCCACAAGUGGCUGGAAUCUCAAGUCUCUCGAAGUCUUCCGCCUGUCUCUGCUUUCCAAGCCCACCGAUCCUCCAGAGCGCAGCACGUGUACGAACACCAACCAGCCGAGAAAACGGGAACGAAGAGGAGAAGCUGUGAUGCGGGAACAUCUGGCGUAAAACUGAGAGCGGCCGGAUGUGGAUCCCUGUGUUGUCCCACAAGUGGCUGGAAUCUCAAGUCUCUCGGAGUCUUCCGCCUGUCUCUGCUUUCCAAGCCCACCGAUCCUCCAGAGCGCAGCACGUGUACGAACACCAACCAGCCGAGAAAACGGGAACGAAGAGGAGAAGCUGUGAUGCGGGAACAUCUGGCGUAAAA